GGAAAAGAAACCAACAGGGAUUGCCUCAGUAGCGGCGAGUGAAGCGGCAAAAGCUCCAUUUUGAAAGCUCUUCGGAGCGUUGUAGAUUGGUGGGAAGCUAACGGCUGGUGGGAGACCAAGUCCUCUGGAACGAGGCGCCAUAGAGGGUGAGAGCCCCGUGUGUCUCCUUUACCGACCUUUCAGCCCCCUCCGCGGAGUCGAGUUGUUUGGGAAUGCAGCUCUAAGUGGGUGGUAAAUUCCAUCUAAGGCUAAAUAUUGGCGAGAGACCGAUAGCGAACAAGUACAGUGAUGGAAAGAUGAAAAGCACUUUGAAAAGAGAGUGAAACAGUACGUGAAAUUGUUGAAAGGGAAGGGUAUUUGGCCCGACAUGGGUCCUAUGCACCGUUGCCUCUCGUGGGCGGCGCUCUGCUUGGGCCUGGGCCAGCGUCAGUUUGGAGGGGGCGAGAAGGGUUUUGGGGAGUUGCCUAGCAAUUCCCCUUUGCUAGAUUGCCCCACACCGGACUGAGGACCGCCAUCUGUAGGAUGCUGGCACAACGGCCAAAUACCGCCC
rnacentral:rRNA from 1 species